GUAGCCACUAAGUGUAAAAAUUCAAUCAAAGAAAGAUUAUUUAACGUUUUAAUUUUCAAAAUAAUCUGUGUUAUCUCUUUAACAAAGAUAACAAAUUAUACCAAAGCAAAAUGCGUGAUUAUGAUUAACUCGAAUAGUAAAUUCGGCCUUACUUCUGAAAUUUUCCCAAUAAAGAACUAUCUAUUCAGCUGGAAGACGCGGUAAAAUCAAAUAUCUAUAUAUCUCUAAUGAAGAAACGUAGAUUGUAUAGUUUGAUCGACAUAUGGAAAUAUCGUUGCAACUUUGAUCAAAGUGAGAAUGAAGAUGGAAUUAUAAUUUCAAACACUUCUAACAAACAAACUGAUUUGAGUGAACAAAAUUAUAGCAAUAAAAAGCAUGAGAAUAAUGAAAAUGAACAUUACAGUGAUUAUACUUUUGAGUUAGAUAAUGCUGAUGAAUGGUAUCGAGAGGAAAGGAAUUAGUGUAAGUUUUAAUUGGCAUAUCACUUGAUUUUGAGUUGCAAUUUAAUGUUUAUUAUCAUCAACUAUUUAUCUUUUUAAUAUCGUCUUAUUAAUAGUUAUCAAGUUAUCUAUCUUAGAUAGCGGUUAUGUAAAGAUAAUUAUAAUCAACAUGUAAUUACUUUUCAAUCAUUGUUGGGCGUAAUAAAUGAAACAAGAUAAUUAAUAGUUAAAAAAUGACCAUUUAAAAGCUUUUAUUAUUGAUUAAUCAAUGAAUCCAUUUAAAAUAUUUAAAUAAUGGCAAAAAUUUGACUAUUUUAAAUAAA